UCUCACUUCCCACACCUGUGUCAGUUCCCUUGCUGAGGGACUCACUAUGUUCCAGGACCUGGUUCCCCAGCCUCUGCCUACGGUGUCUGGAUUCAGCAGGUUGACCCAUGACAGAGGACAGGGGCAGAAUCCAGGUUUUGGCGAAUCAUGGUGCUUCACUGGAGGGAUGACUGCACCCUGCUCCCAGACUCCCUUCUCCCCCUCUGUGCUGCGGGAGACUCUGAUCUUGAACCCUGCAC